rnacentral:misc_RNA from 1 species
UUAUCAGAGAGAAAAAGAAAUACCCAAGGCUCCAAGUUAAACAUUCAACAUCAUAUUCCAGCAAAUUUGAAAAGAAAGUGACACUCACCCAAUGCCCCAACCCAUUAGAAAAGGUACCUCAAUUAAAAUGUGCAUCAGGCAGAGUAAUGUAAAUGACAUGAUCAAACAAAUUUGACCACUUUAGAAAAAAAAAAAUUAUAUAAAUUUCUGGCGCUUUUUCCUUCUCCAAAUAAACUUUGAAGGCCAACCAUAUUAAGGCUUCCCAAAAUUUUCUUUCAAACCAUUUUGGAUCUUCAGCAGCACAUUCCAAUUUUAAAAAAUUGACUACAACAACAAUUUAUGGCUACCAAGAAGGCAUUACCUUAGCAGCAUCCUCAGGA